CCUACGGGAGGCUGCAGUGGGGAAUAUUGCACAAUGGGGGAAACCCUGAUGCAGCGACGCCGCGUGAGUGAAGAAGUAUUUCGGUACGUAAAGCUCCAUUAGUAGGGAAGAAAAUGACGGUACCUGACUAAGAAGCCCCGGCUAACUACGUGCCAGCAGCCGCGGUAAUACGUAGGGGGCAAGCGUUAUCCGGAUUUACUGGGUGUAAAGGGAGCGUAGACGGCAGCGCAAGUCUGGAGUGAAAUCCCAUGGCUUAACCAUGGAACUGCUUUGGAAACUGUGCAGCUAGAGUGCAGGAGAGGUAGGCGGAAUUCGUGGUGUAGCGGUGAAAUGCGUAGAUAUUAGGAGGAACACCAGUGGCGAAGGCGGCUUACUGGACUGUAACUGACGUUGAGGCUCGAAAGCGUGGGGAGCAAACAGGAUUAGAUACCCGUGUAGUC
rnacentral:rRNA from 1 species